rnacentral:rRNA from 1 species
AGAACGAACGCUGGCGGCAUGCCUAAUACAUGCAAGUCGAACGAACUCUUCGGAGUUAGUGGCGCACGGGUGCGUAACGCGUGGGAAUCUGCCCCUUGGUUCGGAAUAACAGUUGGAAACGACUGCUAAUACCGGAUGAUGACGAAAGUCCAAAGAUUUAUCGCCAAGGGAUGAGCCCGCGUAGGAUUAGCUAGUUGGUGAGGUAAAGGCUCACCAAGGCAACGAUCCUUAGCUGGUCUGAGAGGAUGAUCAGCCACACUGGGACUGAGACACGGCCCAGACUCCUACGGGAGGCAGCAGUAGGGAAUAUGGACAAUGGGCGGAAGCCUGAUCCAGCAAUGCCGCGUGAGUGAUGAAGGCCUUAGGUUGUAAAGCUCUUUACCCGAGAUGAUAAUGACAGUAUCGGAGAAUAACGCCCCGAUAACCGUCCGUGACCAGCAGCCG